UGAGCAGGUGCAAUGAAAGAUCCUAGAAA
rnacentral:piRNA from 1 species